UACGAGAGGCCCAAACGUUAUUCGGAUUUACUGGGCUUAAAGAGUUCGUAGGCGGCGCAGAAAGUAGGGUGUGAAAGCCCUCGGCCUAACCGAGGAAUUGCGCUCUAAACUACUGUGCUUGAGGAAUCUAGAGGUGAGCGGAACUGAUGGUGGAGCGGUGAAAUGCGUUGAUAUCAUCAGGAACACCGGAGGCGAAGGCGGCUCACUGGACUGGUACUGACGCUGAGGCGCGAAAGCGUGGGGAGCAAACGGG
rnacentral:rRNA from 1 species